GAGUUUGAUCCUGGCUCAGAACGAACGCUGGCGGCAGGCCUAACACAUGCAAGUCGAGCGCGCCUUUCGGGGUGAGCGGCGGACGGGUUAGUAACGCGUGGGAAUAUACCCUUUGGUACGGAAUAGCCUCUGGAAACGGAGAGUAAUACCGUAUGAGCCCUUUGGGGGAAAGAUUUAUCGCCAAGGGAUUAGCCCGCGUUAGAUUAGGUAGUUGGUGGGGUAAUGGCCUACCAAGCCUACGAUCUAUAGCUGGUUUUAGAGGAUGAUCAGCAACACUGGGACUGAGACACGGCCCAGACUCCUACGGGAGGCAGCAGUGGGGAAUCUUGGACAAUGGGGGCAACCCUGAUCCAGCCAUGCCGCGUGAGUGAUGAAGGCCUUAGGGUCGUAAAGCUCUUUCGCCUGUGAAGAUAAUGACGGUAGCAGGUAAAGAAACCCCGGCUAACUCCGUGCCAGCAGCCGCGGUAAUACGGAGGGGGUUAGCGUUGUUCGGAAUUACUGGGCGUAAAGCGCACGUAGGCGGAUCGGAAAGUUGGGGGUGAAAUCCCGGGGCUCAACCCCGGAACUGCCUCCAAAACUAUCGGUCUAGAGUUCGAGAGAGGUGAGUGGAAUUCCGAGUGUAGAGGUGAAAUUCGUAGAUAUUCGGAGGAACACCAGUGGCGAAGGCGGCUCACUGGCUCGAUACUGACGCUGAGGUGCGAAAGUGUGGGGAGCAAACAGGAUUAGAUACCCUGGUAGUC
rnacentral:rRNA from 1 species